UGCUCCGUUCGAUCCCCGUUUGUCUGCCGCCCCCAGGCCUAAAGUUACUUCCGCUGCUAUUCCUCUGUGAUCCGGGAGCGCGAGCGGGGCGGGGCCGGGAGCGGCAGGAGGGGCCCGGAGCGGGGCUGUGGAGAACCCCGCCCCCAACGGAGGGGCAAUACCGCCUACCAACGCCCCGCGCGGUGCGCUCCAACGGCCGCAACUGUCACGUGUCUCCUCCCCCCGCCUGGCGCCCCGCGGGAUGCGUCACUUCUGGGCCCGCUGCGGGGCGGGGCUCUGGGCCCGCCGGAGAGCUGGGUACAGAAUAACAUCCACGUUUCGCUCCAGAUGAUCCCCUCCUCCCAGGGGGAAGGAAAUGGCUGCAAUGGAGCUGGCUCAGAGACUGGUGACUUUCGAGGAGGUGGCUGUGUAUUUCACCA